rnacentral:rRNA from 1 species
CUACCUACGGGACGCAGCAGUGGGGGAUAUUGCACAAUGGGGGGAACCCUGAUGCAGCGACGCCGCGUGGGUGAAGGAGUGCUUCGGCAUGUAAAGCGCUAUCGGCAGGGAAGAAGCAAGACGGUACCUGACUAAGAAGCCCCGGCUAACUACGUGCCAGCAGCCGCGGUAAUACGGAGGAUGCGAGCGUUAUCCGGAUUUAUUGGGUUUAAAGGGUGCGCAGGCGGUCUGUUAAGUCAGCGGUCAAAGCCCGGGGCUCAACCCCGGCCCGCCGUUGAAACUGGCA